rnacentral:hammerhead_ribozyme from 1 species
AUCCAACUGACGAGUUCCGAAUAGGACGAAGUGUGCGUCCUGGAU